rnacentral:rRNA from 1 species
UACGGAGGGUGCGAGCGUUAAUCGGAAUUACUGGGCGUAAAGCGCACGCAGGCGGAUUGUUAAGCUAGAGGUGAAAGCCCCGCGCUCAACGUGGGAAUUGCCUUUGAGAAUGGCAGUCUAGAGUCUUGGAGAGGGGAGUGGAAGUUCCAGGUGUUAGCGGUGAAAUGACGUAGAGAUCUGGAGGAACAUCAGUGGCGAAGGCGACUCCCUGGCCAAAGACUGACGCUCAUGUGCGAAAGUGUGGGUAGCGAACAGGAUUAGAUACCCCGCGUAGUCC